CAUUCAUGGCAGGGUGAUACAUGUAUGACUGUCCCAUGCUGCCUGAUAGGACAGCCAUGCAUGUACCACCGUGCUUCAAGCCACCCACCUGGCAGUGAGACCUGAAUCAUGGCCCCAUUGUGAACACGCUUGAGCAAUCUUUCUUUCAUUAGCAUUGUACUGCCCACCUGCCCCAUACUGGUGAUUAUACCCAGGGCCUUCUCACUGAGCUCCAUCCUCAUCUCUUUUUCAAAUGUAUUUGAGACAAGGUCUUGCCAAGUAAGUUGUCCAGGCUGGGGUGGCAUUUGUGAUCCUCCUGCUUCACCCUCCCAGAGUACUAGGACUACAGGUGUGCACUAUUGUGCAUGGCUUGUAUAGUUUCUUAGUAUUGAGUUUAUUUUUAAAUAAAAAUUAAAUAACUUACCUAAUAAAACAAAAAGGAUUAGAAGAUGGGAACUUGUUAAUGCUAAGAUAUUUUUCUUUUGGUACCCAGGAUUGAACUCGGUCCUUGGCGCUUGCGCAGCAGGCAGCGAAACCACUGAGCUAAAUCCCUGGCCCAAUGCUAAGAUUCUUUAUCCAAGGCUGACCUAGCCUUUAGGCAGACUAUAGCAUAUGCUGUGGGCCCAUGAUAUAGGUAGGGACCCACAGAAGUGUUUUCAUUUUCAUUCUUUUAGAAUUAGCAAUAAUAAUGAUAUAUUUUUAGUAAUAUGCAGUGUCAUAUUUGCAUUUAUGCCAUAAUACACAGUAUAAUUGUAGUAUUUAGUAGAGAAUGUGACCUAUAGGAGCAUAAGUAGUCCCUGGGAAAGUCAUGAUGCAACACUACUUACUCCUUUUAAAGGCUUCAUUCUUAAUGUGUCUUUCAUCAGUUACUCAUGGUUUUUUCUUUUCUUACACCAUGACUUAAUGAAUGCUUACCAAUUGACUGCUAUGUUUAUUGAAGUACUACUGUACCAUAAAGUACAUAAAUCAAGAGUAUGUCUGAAAUAGUGUCCAGGUGAAAAUAGAAGUAAUUUUUCAGGAGUGUCAUUAUAGAAUUGUACCCUCAAGUUCAGAGUAUACUGCUCUUAGGAUAUUGUGAUAGCUGUUAACUAGUCAGGAUUUAAAUAUUCAUAAUUAUGGUGCAUAAAAUAUGCAAUAAAACUAAAUGUUUUCACAGCUUUUUUAUUAACACAUAUUCCCUGCUAUCUGUGUCAGUGAUUGAAUUAUUAAAUUACAGAAAUGUUUCUGCCCACAGCUCCGCUGCAUUCUGUUUCUCAUCAUUUGGCUUAUAACUGGAGGAAGGCACCACUUUUGGUUCUUGCCUAAUCUGACUGCUGAUGUGGGCUUCAUUGACUCCUUCAGGCCUCUGUACACACAUGAAUACAAAGGACCAAAAGCAGACUUAAAGAAAGACGAAAAAAUCUGAAACCAAAAAACAGCAGAAGUCUGACAGUGAGGAAAAGUCAGACAGUGAGAAAAAGGAAGAUGAAGAAGGAAAAGUAGGACCAGGAAGUCAUGGAACAGAAGGCUCAGGUGGAGAACGGCAUUCAGACACAGACAGUGACAGGAGGGAAGAUGACAGAUCCCAACACAGUAGUGGAAAUGGGAAUGAUUUUGAAAUGAUCACAAAAGAGGAACUGGAGCAGCAAACUGAUGGGGAUUGUGAAGAGGAGGAAGAAGAAGACAAUGAUGGAGAAACACCUAAAUCUUCACAUGAGAAAUCAUAAUCUGACUAAUUUGGGGACUGAAUAAGUGGAAGAGGUUGGAUUUUCUAUGUUGGCAGAUCAUCAUACUAUACAUGUGGCAUUUGUAGCAUUCUUUAAGUCCAUUCGCGCUGAAAGUAUUUGACAACCAAGCAGUUCUAUUCAGUCCUUCAUUUUAUAGAAUAUUGGUACUAUUAUUGGUACAGUCUAAAGCCAUUAAUAAGUUUUAUGCAUUUGAUAAUUUUACAGUAAGUAGGUCUCAUUUUGAUAGUUAUCAAAGAUGCAUUUUUCACAAUGACCUUUAGAUUAAGGGCAUUUUUGAUAUAUGGCUUUUUACUGUUAAGUUAAUCAAAAAGAAUAAACUCCAACAUUUCAGAUUAUUCAUAGUUUAGCCAUUUCACAAUUUUUUUAGGUUGAAAUACAUAUUGUUCUUGAUAGUUAUGCUUUUGUUUUUCAUUAUAAAAUUAUAGACUUUCAUUAUAAAAUUCUACCAGAAAUUUCUUAAAAGAUUCUGAGUUAGCAGGGAUCAAAAACAUUUGGUGGAAAUAAGCCAACUAAUAACAGUGCAGGAAUAUUUUUGGUUUAGCUACAAAUUCUCCUUUCCAACUUAGGAAAUCCAAGCUGAAUUGUACACUUGAUUCAGAGAAAGAUGGUCAUCUCCAGCAGGAAAGCAAACAGCAUUGGUUGGAAGGUGAUGGCUCUUCUUCCCCAUCUCCUUGUCAUAGCGUAAAGUGUAUUCUGUACAUAAUUUACAAAUAAAACAUUUUAUUUUAAUUGUUACUUAUUAUUUAGACAUUUCUCAACACUUAAAUUUGUGAAAUUAAGAUUAUGUAAGGUUAUGUUUUUAGAGAAAUGGAAGUUUGGAUAACUCAUGGAACAUCUGUAAUCUUUCUACAGCAGCUUCAGUUUUGUGCCAACAUUCCAUGUAUUUGAAUAUAAGUAAAACCGGAUCCUUAUCAAAUAAGAGCAGACUUAAAAGUAGCUGUUUGUAUGCCUUAAUGUUCAUUUUGAUUUAUUUUAAAUCUUUGCAUUUAGAAAUGGGGUACUGUAUUUUCAGACCAGGAGGCACUGCUGUGAAAGGUAAUUUACUGUUCUAAAAUAUCAGUUUAAAAUAAAGGCUAUAAAAGAAAACAUAGAGAACCAUUGAGUCUAAUUGCUUCAAACUGGUUUUGCAGUUUGAUUUUUGUCUUGCAAGGUAUAGUUACAAAUCUUAGGAAAAUCUUGUUUACUUACAAGCGUAAUCAUUCCCUGGAGUUCAACUCUACAAACUGAUAGUGAAUAUUAAAUGAUUUUCCUUAAGUCACAGUAAGAGUAUUUUGUUUUGUAGUUGAAAUAGGUGGAGUAUGUAGGUCUUUUUCUUUGGGUUAUUUACCAUCUAGGUGUUGGACUAAAAGUGUUAACAUUCUUCUAAUUGUGAAAAAAUACAUUGAUGCAUCUUAUUAAACAUGGCUCAGUUACUUCUUUAUAGUAUUCCUAUAAGUGGACAGACAUGUGGCUAUUUGAUGUUAAAGCAGCUCUUUGAAGGCUACAAUCAUUUUGAGUUUUCUCUAAGCAACUGUUCAUUGAUUUUAGUGCCUGGGUACUUUACCCUCACGCUUGCAGAAAUCUGCAGUGAGGUUAUGUAUUAUAAUAAUAGCUUCUGAGCUUCUUAAUCACCAGUAACAAUAAUACUACUUAUUUUGGAGUGUGAAUGUGGUACCAGAAGUGUUUUUCAGAAAUAAAAUGAUUUUGUUAACCUUUACUACUAUGAAAUACCUAGGCACUCGAUAGUUAUCCUGAAGUUCUUUUUUAUAUAUAUAUAUACUCUGUCUAGUCUUAAAGACAUGUGGAGCAUGGCAGUCAUGAAAGUCAGCUGCUUACUGAUAAGUUUGGAUCCUUAUCAUAAUAUUAGUGCACAUUUUAAAAAUAUUUGGUGAUCCCUGGUGGCGGGGGGUGGGGAUUCUUACGUGGUUAGAAAGUGAGUUAGAAAUUUCAGCUUAAUGACCAUUGUACUCUUCAAGGUUGUAUAUAUCUUAAACAAAUAUAAAAAUCAAAAAGCUCUCUCUGUUGCAGCCAUCAGAAGAAGGGAUAGCUAUCUUUGUUGAUUAACAUUAAAUAUCCUUGUGUCAGAGCAUGGAGAAUUCAUUACAGUAAUCAAUACAAUGGAGAUUUUUUUAAAAAAAACUGAAGAAUUUGCUAUGAAUAAAGCUUCUGGGCAGUACAGGAUUUAAUGUGGAGUGGGUAUAAACUGGCCUAACUAAACAGUGAAUUAACCAAAAAACAAAGUCCAGAUGUUAAGAAUAAUGCAGAUAUGAAUAUUCUUAAAGUCAGCAUAUUAAGUAGGUUGCUUUUCCUUUUCCUACUUGCACUGAAUUCUUUAAUUUUCAAACUAUAAGGCCUUCUAGACAAUGUAAAUUGAACAAUUUAGGUGAGUACUAUUCCAAAAGUAAGAAAUUUUAAUACAUAAUGGGCCGGGGAUUUAGCUCAGUGGUUCUGGUGCCUGCUGCACAAGUGCAAGGUCCUGAGUUAGAUCCCCGUGCCAAAAAAAAAAAUUUUAGUACAUAAUACUGAAAUUAUACAGUGAUGAUGGAUUUUGGUGUUUUCCUCCCUCUUUCUGGCUUUACAUUAUAAGUACCAGUUAACUGCUGAUUUGAAAAAUCAUGUGUUUUGUAAAUUGAAUUUUUCCUUAUUAGAAACUGGAAAACCGCAUGUACAGUUGAUUCUUGUUAUUUGCAAUAAUUCUAAGAAGUUAUUGUGGACAUUGAAUUAGCAAACACUGAACCACUGCACCUAGGGGAAAUGUAGGGGCUAGGUGUCAGCAAGGCUUCGGUUGCAUUUUCAUCAAUGAAGUAAUAUGUAUACUUUUUAAAGAUGUAUUUUAAAGAAACUAAUAAGUAUUGUUAAUUCAUUAACAUGAAUUUACAAUCAGCAUUAUAACUCAUGCCUGAAUGAAGCUGUUCUAACAAAUAUAUUUUCUCCAUGAAGCACAUCACAGGGAACAUUAGUCAGCUCUUCAGCACUAUUCUUGGGCCAUUUAAAAGGUGAAAUCGCCCACAUGUAGCAGCACAUUCCUGUAUGCCUAGCCCUAGGGAGGCUGUGGCAAGAUGUUCACGAGUUCAAGGCCACAUUCUGUGCUACAUAGCUAGAUUGAGGCCAGCCUGCAGUACAUAGUGAAAUCCUAUCCCUAAACUCCUGACACACAAAAGUGAAAAACCAUGGCAUUAAAUAGAGCAAACAGGACACUUGCGUAAAUAUGAGACCUGGAAUAAGAAGACCUCAUUCAACCUCAGCAGAGACUGGACAAGUUGCAUUUGCUAUUCUACACGUGGCUGCAAAAGCACUACAGAAAUUGUAAGCAAAUUUGCAAAUAUGGAAUCCACAAAAAAGAUUGACUGCAUUUAACUAUAAAGUUGUGAUGUUUACCUAAUCUAUAGAAUAGAAUUUAUUGAUGCAUCAUACUCCAACAUUUGAGUAGCAUUUUAUAUACCACUGUCUUGAAUAAAUCCUCAUUUUUGUGUAAUUUGCUUUUACUGUUAUAGCAAUAUUUUCUGUGUUCAUUCACUAAUAGCAGUUACCAUACACCAGAACUUUACUAGACAUAGCCAUGAAUAAAAAUCCAGUUUUUUUCUCUUGGACCAUCAAAUAGUGUGUAAGUGCUGUGACGGGAUUUACUGUACUUGCUCAGUGUUUCUUACCUACCCUUCCAGUUCCACACUGCUCUCUGCCGGGAAGACUGACCCUAAUGGGCUCCUGGGCUGCUUGGCUUGUAGAUGGAUUUGGCCAGGUCAUGUCCUAGCUAAUGAUGGUCAGGGUGUGUAUUCUCUUGGCUCUUCCCCCCUCAGCAGUCAGAGGUCACCACUUCACCCAAAUUUCCCUUCACCACUCUGCAUUCUUUAACUGAAGAUGAGUUUGGUUUUUUGUUUUUUUUUGUUUUAUUUUUUUUGGUACUGGGGAUCGAACUCGGGUCCUUGCGCUUGCAUAGCAGGCGGUGAAACCGCUGAGCUAAAUCCCCGGCCCUGAUAAUGUUAGUUUUAAUGCUGAGAGCCUGGGAUUUCUGAAGCAGCUGUGCUUCUUCUGUAUGUCCCCCAUUUCUGCACUUUUGUAUAAUAUCCUCAAACUGUGAGUAUAAGAACUGUUUCCUGUUGGAACUAAAACCAGUAAACCACAGAGAAAGCGAAAUUUACUGUUAGAUCCUUGUCACCAAACACUUUAGAAAGGAGACUGCAGGUUUACAGAGUAUGUCCUGGGAGUUUCGAUACAUGAAUUUAUGUUCUACUGGAUAUCUGUGCAGGUCACUGCACAAGGAAAUUAAGUCUGCCUUCUUUAACAAGCCCUUAAGCUAAUGUCUGCAGCAUUUAGAUGGAAGUUUUUGAGCAGGUCCAAAUACGCCUACUCCACUUUUCCAACCUCGCCCAGAGACCCUUUCAGACUAAUUACAUGACUUCUGUCAAGAUGAAAUUUCACCAUGGGAGAGUACAUUUUUUCUUAGGUUUGUAGUUUUAGGAUUGUUGAAAAGGCCUGUGAUCUCUACUGAGCAUGGCAUUAGAAACAGAAUUCUUAAUGUUUCUCUUGAGUCAGGUCAUCACACUUUGGUCUCAUUUCAUUUUCAAGAAAUGCCUAUAUCAACUUUUUUGUGCCAUGGAUAAACCUCAGAAUAAUGUUCUUAAAUGCAAAAAAAAAAAGCUCCAAAAGUGAAAUGCUGUAUUAGUCUGCAAAAAAAAGUGAAAUGUAUUUUAAUAAUGGAAUUACUGAAUUAUGUAAUCAGCAAAACAUGUUAAAUUGUGAUAAUGUGUAUGUGUGAGUUUAAUCUAGGAAGGGGUCUAAUAACUGCCAUGACAUUGAAGUGGCAUAAAUAGAUAUCUGAUAUGAAAAUACCUGGUGUCUGUCAUUGACAAAUCAAAGAUAUUACUAAUACAACUUUGGGUUGUCUGUAUUUAUAAUUGAAAAUGCUGAAUUUCAGUUGUGGUCUAAUGAAAAUAAUUUUUCCUCCUUUAUGUUAACAUACCCAGUGCAUUCUGUUCUUAAAUUCUUUAGAGGUCUGUAAAUUACAAGAAACCCCAAUCUAACUAAUCAGAUCCACCAGUGUUUCAAAAAAGAGUAUACCAUUAUAUUCACUAUCA
ensembl:lncRNA